rnacentral:rRNA from 1 species
UACGUAGGUCCCGAGCGUUGUCCGGAUUUAUUGGGCGUAAAGCGAGCGCAGGUGGUUUAUUAAGUCUGGUGUAAAAGGCAGUGGCUUAACCAUUGUAUGCAUUGGAAACUGGUAGACUUGAGUGCAGGAGAGGAGAGUGGAAUUCCAUGUGUAGCGGUGAAAUGCGUAGAUAUAUGGAGGAACACCGGUGGCGAAAGCGGCUCUCUGGCCUGUAACGGACACUGAGGCUCGAAAGCGUGGGGAGCAAACAGG